rnacentral:rRNA from 1 species
AGCGAACGCUGGCGGCAGGCCUAACACAUGCAAGUCGAGCGCCGUAGCAAUACGGAGCGGCAGACGGGAGAGUAACACGUGGGAACGUACCCUUCAGUACGGAACAACCAAGGGAAACUUUGGCUAAUACCGUAUACGUCCGUAAGGAGAAAGAUUUAUCGCUGAAGGAUCGGCCCGCGUCUGAUUAGCUUGUUGGUGAGGUAACGGUUCACCAAGGCGACGAUCAGUAGCUGGUCCGAGAGGAUGAUCAGCCUCACUGGGACUGAGACACGGCCCAGACUCCUACGGGAGGCAGCAGUGGGGAAUAUUGGACAAUGGGCGCAAGCCUGAUCCAGCCAUGCCGCGUGGGUGAUGAAGGCCCUAGGGUUGUAAGCCCUUUCGGCGGGGAAGAUAAUGACGGUACCCGCACAGGAAGCCCCGGCUAACUUCGUGCCAGCCGCCGCCGUAACAC